UGUGGAACGGUGCGAGCCGGCUGUGUCUAAGUGGAUGGUUCGAGCUGGCUGUGUCUCGCACCGAGUCCAAGCACUCGGCCCUCACGGGGUUCUCCGGAGCUGGUCCGGGGCUGGCAGCAGCGGCAGCAUCACCUGGGAGCUGCUUGUUAGAAAGGCAAAUUCUUAGCCUGCCUCCAGCCUCACUAAUUCAAGUGGAUCCCAGCGAUCCGUGACUUAACCAGCUCUCCAGGUGGUUCCGAGAAGCACUGCUCUGGUGGGCGCCCAGAGCUGAGGAAGCACAAGCUUCUUGGAAUGGAAUGACCAUCGAGCGACCGUAUAGAUGCUCAAGAUCAGGUUGGUUGAUUCCCUGACAUUCCAGCAACCCGGAAACUAACUGGCACAAGGGAAGACAUGGCUGCCUGCGGCUGACGUUUGCGUCUUCGUGCUGUGAGGCAUCCGUGGUAUGAACGUGCUACAUUUUGAUCACCCAUUCUAUUGGUGCACAUCUGGGGAGCUUCCUGCCUGGGGAAUAUGAAUGGUGUUGCUGGGAAAAUGUUCCUGUGCAUCUUUUGCCCCCCAGUACUGGGAAAUUUCUCCAAUAAUCGAAACCAUGAGGACAAAGAAGUUGUGCCACCAUUUUGAGCUUUGGGGAGAAAGGAGCUAUUUAUGCCAGUAGGUCUUUUAUUUUGGGCAAUAGUCAAAGCUCCUUGGGGCCCCCUUUGGCACAGCCCAUGGGGCGGUCAGGCACUCACCAUGUUGUUCCAGAGUGCGAUGGCCAUCUCGGCAUGACCACGUUCUGAGAAGUGGAAACAGUCCUCGGAGAAGAAGGUGAGGUCAGUGUCCCCUCUCUGGGACCAAAGGCAAAGGGAUUAGUUCCUGGGGAGAAAGGUACCGCCUCCCACCCCUGCAGGUGACCUGGGCAUCAUUCCUUUCAACUCUGCUGCCACCUAGCUCAGAGACGGAUGGAGAAACUCUCCAAUUUUGGAACAUUUAAAAAGAGCCGAAUUGGGGUGCCUGGGUGGCUCAGACAGCUAAAUGUUUGCCUUCGGCUCAGGUCAUGAUCUCCAGGUCCUGAGACUGAGCUCCUACUGAGCUGGGAGCCUGCUUCUCCCUCUCCCUCUGCCUGCUGCUCCCCUUGCUUGUACCCUGUCUCUCUCUCAAAUGAAUAAAUAAAAUCUUUUUAAAAAGAGAGAGAGCUGAAUUGUAACCUCCCACUGUCCAUCCCUUUUCCUUCCACAUCCUUGCCCUAAGAGAUGAAAAAAAAAAUUUAGGAAGCUUUCCAUUCUACCCCAAACUAGAAAAUAGCAGGGCCAGGGCUGCGGUCACUGAUAAUUUUCUCCUUUUCUUUCCAAGUAUAUCUAAGUUCCAAUCAUACUUUUUAAAAAAAAAAAAAAAAAGGGAAAAACAGAAAAAGCAAAAUCUUAGGAGCCCUCUUGGAGGCAUCUGGCCAGGAAAAGCUCAGGCGUAGAAGGAUGUACAUCACCGAAGAAGAGCCCCUCUACACGUGCCUCCCAGACGUGCCCACCGCUUACGCUGUUGAGGGGGACGAGAGUGUUUUGGAAGAAAGGCUGCACCACCACGGCGAAGUCUUCCCGCUGCAGAAUGUAUCCAAAGGCUUUCUCAGUCUCAAGAAAUCUCAACCCAGGAAGAAUCAAAGAUCUGCCACAGACCUCGAAGCCACAUGGAUGCAGACCCCACCAGGGGCUAGCCUGCCUCCAGCCCCCUCCUUCUGCAUGGUUACUCUGGGCUUCUACAGCGUUCCCCAUCUCCUCGCUUUUUCCCCCUGCUGGCACAGGAGGUUGGGGAGGAAACGAGCAGGAUUACUUUUCCCUGCAUCUUCCAGAUGUCGGCCACGGAUAAGGAAAAUGAAUGCUGUGGGUAAGAGUGAAGCAGGUGGAGGGAAGUGUGCCCAGCAGCAAGGAUGAGCAAACUGCCCAUCUGGACGACACGAGUGCGUCUCAAAACGACCUGCUGGGUGACAGACGUUAGACAAGAGCAGCCAGUGUAGGAUUCCACAUAACAUUCCAGAAAAGGAAAACUGAUCUCUAGAGAUAGAAAGCAGGUCAGAGGCUACCUGGGGCCCCAGGGCUGGGGUAGAGAUGGAAGGAGCCCGGAGGGAGAGAGAGGGGUUACCAAGGACACAGGGACACCCAAAGGUGUGAUGGGUGUCAUCUGGAUUCCAGUGACAUUUAACAGCUAGGGACACACGCGAAGCUUAUCAAACUGUAUUCCUGAGAUAUGUGCCGUGAACCGCAUG